AGUGAACGCUGGCGGUAGGCCUAACACAUGCAAGUCGAACGGCAGCACAGUAAGAGCUUGCUCUUACGGGUGGCGAGUGGCGGACGGGGGAGGAAUACAUCGGAAUCUACUUUUUCGGGGGGGAUAACGUAGGGAAACUUACGCUAAUACCGCAUACGACCUACGGGUGAAAGCAGGGGAUCUUCGGACCUUGCGCGAUUGAAUGAGCCGAUGUCGGAUUAGCUAGUUGGCGGGGUAAAGGCCCACCAAGGCGACGAUCCGUAGCUGGUCUGAGAGGAUGAUCAGCCACACUGGAACUGAGACACGGUCCAGACUCCUACGGGAGGCAGCAGUGGGGAAUAUUGGACAAUGGGCGCAAGCCUGAUCCAGCCAUACCGCGUGGGUGAAGAAGGCCUUCGGGUUGUAAAGCCCUUUUGUUGGGAAAGAAAAGCAGCAGGUUAAUACCCCGCUGUUCUGACGGUACCCAAAGAAUAAGCACCGGCUAACUUCGUG
rnacentral:rRNA from 1 species